GGCUUAAUUUGACUCAACACGGGAAACCUCACCAGGCCCGGACACCGGAAGGAUUGACAGAUUGAUAGCUCUUUCUUGAUUCGGUGGGUGGUGGUGCAUGGCCGUUCUUAGUUGGUGGAGCGAUUUGUCUGGUUAAUUCCGAUAACGAACGAGACUCUAGCCUGCUAACUAGGCGUCUCCAGUAUCCACAAUAGUGCUACUGGCGAACAAAAUUCUUCUUAGAGGGACAGGCGGCUUCUAGCCGCACGAGACUGAGCAAUAACAGGUCUGUGAUGCCCUUAGAUGUCCUGGGCCGCACGCGCGCUACACUGAAGGAAUCAGCGUGUCUUCCCUGGCCGAAAGGUCCGGGUAACCCGUUGAACCUCCUUCGUGCUAGGGAUUGGGGCUUGCAAUUGUUCCCCAUGAACGAGGAAUUCCCAGUAAGCGCGAGUCAUAAGCUCGCGUUGAUUACGUCCCUGCCCUUUGUACACACCGCCCGUCGCUACUACCGAUUGAAUGAUUUAGUGAGGUCUUCGGACUGGUGCGCGGCGAUCGCCUCGUGCGGUCGCCGAUGUUGCCGGAAAGAUGACCAAACUUGAUCAUUUAGAGG
rnacentral:rRNA from 1 species